rnacentral:rRNA from 1 species
UACGUAGGGAGCAAGCGUUGUCCGGAAUCAUUGGGCGUAAAGCGCGCGUAGGCGGCCCUGUAAGUCCGUUGUGAAAGUCAAAGGCUCAACCUUUGAAAGCCGGUGGAUACUGUGGGGCUAGAGUCCGGGAGAGGCGAGUGGAAUUCCUGGUGUAGCGGUGGAAUGCGCAGAUAUCAGGAGGAACACCAAUAGCGAAGGCAGCUCGCUGGGACGGUACUGACGCUAAGGCGCGAAAGCGUGGGGAGCGAACAGG